rnacentral:rRNA from 1 species
ACAGAGGGAGCGAGCGUUAUUCGGAAUUAUUGGGCGUAAAGGGCGCGUAGGCGGCCCAGCAAGUCUUGGGUGAAAUCCCUCGGCUCAACCGAGGAACUGCCCCGGAAACUGCUGGGCUUGAGGCCGGGAGAGGGUGGUGGAAUUCCCAGUGUAGCGGUGAAAUGCGUAGAUAUUGGGAGGAACACCAGUGGCGAAGGCGGCCACCUGGACCGGUUCUGACGCUGAGGCGCGAAAGCGUGGGGAGCAAACAGGA